GACAGAGGCCGCGAGCGUUAUGCGGAAUCACUGGGCUUAAAGCGUGUGUAGGCGGAAUCGUAAGUACCUUGUGAAAUCCCACGGCUCAACCGUGGAACUGCUGUGUAUACUGCGUUUCUUGAGCAAUCUAGGGGCGAGUGGAACGGAUGGUGGAGCGGUGAAAUGCAUAGAUAUCAUCCGGAACGCCUGUGGUGAAGACGACUCGCUGGGGAUUUGCUGACGCUGAGACACGAAAGCCAGGGGAGCAAACGGG
rnacentral:rRNA from 1 species